CACUGCGGCUUAAGGCCGGCGCCCCGGCGACGAAGAGCGAGGCCUGCGCCCCAGCAUCCAGAGCCCGACUUUGUACCGAGGUCCCUGCGCUCUCGAUAAAAGGCCGCUCUGGAGAGCCGAGCGCCAGGUGACGUCUGCCCCCAUCACCUUCCCCAGGACUCGGAGGCGCUGACACCAGACUGGCCUCUUAGACUGAACUUUGGUGUUUUCACGAGACCUUUUGUACAGUAUUUAUCGUCCGCAGAGGAGGCACACAGCGUUUUCUCGGCUCCGGAGGACAAAAGACAAAAACCCAGCGAGGCGAUGCCAACUUUUGUAUGACUGCCGGCUCUGUAACUUUUUCCGGGGUUUACUUCCCGCCAGCUCUUCUGCCUGAGGCCGAGUGACGGACCUCGAGCCCUUCUCACUUGUUAUAAAUCUAAUAUCCCGAACAUCCGCUGUCAGCAGGCACAAGGCUGUGAUUCAAGAUGAGUGCCCGAAGCUUCCUCUGCGUGUGUGAAGAAGAUCCAGCAAGAGAAGGAAGCAGGGUUCCUGAAAGCCAGGCUGAUGAGGAAAACUCCUGUGCUGAGUUAACGUGGGCGUCUGAGUGGGCAGAGUCAGUGUAUGAACAGCACAGGUGCCCACCCCACCCCCACCCUGGCGGACAACCAGUGGUCUCAGGGAGCCACGAAGCUGUCUUGGGACUGCACACAAGGCACAUACAGGUGAAGCUGGAUACGAGUCAGACCUGUGAACUAACUCCCUGCAUCCGAGGGGGGAGGAAGUGACCACAUCAUCUCAUUGGCUCUGCAGAUCCAAGUCAACUCAAACGGCAAGCACGGCCCAGGUAAGUCACUUCACUAAUCACGUGGGCCAGAGUGAAGUGGGUCAGUCAGUCACUCGGGCACA
rnacentral:lncRNA from 1 species